rnacentral:ncRNA from 14 species
UCACCGCAGCCGAGGAGCAGUCGUUCUGAGAAAUACCGGUGAACUUGAUCUGGAUAAUACCAGCGAAAGAACAUGCUUCUUUGACUCC